UUAUAUUAUUUCUCUUAUUAUAAGACAUACCUAUCAUUUCACAUUAUUUAUAAAAACAUGGAUAAGAGAAAUCUGGCUCUAACGAGAUCCGUCGCGAGAUCUACUUGUAGAUAAUGAUGUCCAACUACUAUAUAUUCACAAGAAGAAUACCAAACUAUUUAAUAAUUUUUCUAAGGAGAAAUAAGCGCGUAAUACUCUCUUAUUCCCAUAGAAAAUAUAUAUAUUUUUCUGUCUGUGUAUGUAGCGUAGAUAGAUAGUUAUACAUACAUAUACGAUAGAUUGCUGAAUAUACUUUUGCAAAUAGUAUGUGUUUCUCUUGCACAAUUCGUAUUUAAAUUAUGGAUCUAUGUAAACAUUUUAUUUAUGAGAUUACCUAUCUAAUUCAUAGAAAUUCACGCACGCAAAUGUAUAUGUGAGAUGAGAGGCGGAGGAUAAAUGUAUAUGAAACAUAGUUAUUUAAUCUGAUCCAAAAAUUCGAAGCAUAUAUGAAUCAUAAAGGAUAUUCUCUGAUCAAUAUUAUUCAUAUAUAUAAUAAUAUUUUCUGUCAUUAUAUAUAAAAUCUCAUCGAAAUCAUACUUCGGAUCAUUAAAUAACUCCGUUCCUGAUUAUUACAUAAUUAUUCAAAUAUGAAUUCUCUAAGCCAGAUCUAAGCGAAUAAUGGCCAUCGAUGAUAAAGUGAUCAUUGACUAAUAAUUAUGUAACGUUAAAUUACCGGCUUAAGUGAUGGAUAUUUCCUCCGCGUUAAUAUUCGCCAUGUCGCGUUAUAAUCAUCGUUCGAUAGUUCAUUCCAUCCUAUACGACGCGUGUAACGCAUCUUCGUGUUACGGAGUGAGAGAAGAAUCCGAAAAGAAAAAUUAGCUAAACAUCUAGAUAAGCUAAAUAUCUAGAUAAGUAUACCGCUUGUUCGUGUCUAUUAGACGUGAACGAGAGAGAAUUUUGCGAAGCGAGCUAGGAAUACUCAGGGGCAUGCUUCCAUCAUUAUCAAAUCGAAGACAAUUAACGUAAAUAUGCAGGAAGCGAAUGCUGAUGUUGCAGAAUGCGAAAGAGUUAAAGAUGGUUCGCCAAAUGUCACAGCUAAAUUUCUGCGAUUUCGACAAGAUCGAUUUUAUUUGGUUACGAGCGAGAGGGUUGCAUAAUUAAUGUACAGGUAUUUACACAAUAAUUAUAUAUAUAUAUAUAUUGUCACAUUUCGCGCUUUA